rnacentral:rRNA from 1 species
UACGGGGGGGGCAAGCGUUGUUCGGAAUUACUGGGCGUAAAGGGCUCGUAGGCGGCCAACUAAGUCGGAUGUGAAAUCCCCAGGCUCAACCUGGGAACUGCAUCCGAUACUGGAUGGCUUGAAUUCGGGAGAGGGAUGCAGAAUUCCAGGUGUAGCGGUGAAAUGCGUAGAUAUCUGGAGGAACACCGGUGGCGAAGGCGGCAUCCUGGACCAACACUGACGCUGAUGAGCGAAAGCCAGGGGAGCAAACGGG